rnacentral:rRNA from 1 species
AUUGAACGCUGGCGGCAGGCUUAACACAUGCAAGUCGAGCGAGCGGCGGACGGGUGAGUAAUGUCUGGGAAACGGCCUGAUGGAGGGGGAUAACUACUGGAAACGGUAGCUAAUAACGCAUACCAUCAGAUGACCCCAGAUGGGAUUAGCUUGUCGGUGGGGUAAUGGCUCACCUCGGCGACGAUCCCUAGCUGGUCUGAGAGGAGUACCAGCCACACUGUACCUGAGACACGGUCCAGACUCCUACGGGAGGCAGCAGUGAGGAAGAUUGCACAAUGGGCGCAAGCCUGAUGCAGCCAUGCCGCUUGUGUGAAGAAGGCCUUCGGGUUGUAAAGCACUUUCAGCGAGGAGGCGUUACUCGCAGAAGAAGCACCGGCUAACUCCGUGCCAGCAGCCGCGGUAAUUC